rnacentral:snRNA from 1 species
GAAUCCAAAAUAAACCCG